rnacentral:lncRNA from 1 species
AGCAGCAGUACAGCUAGUUCAUCGGAACUAGUACACAGGAUUAAUUUUAGCAUCUUUCUUUCUGACAGCUUUUUUUUAAUCUCAUCAACAAGAGUGGUAUAGAAAUGAAGUUUCCCGAGUUUAGGGACUCUAUCAGCCGCUUCAGGCUUGUUCAGUCCUUUCUGGGGUUAGCUGGCUGCCUGUGUGUGACCUAUGCAGUGUGGACACCCUUCUGGCUGAAUGAGAAGGGACUGUGGACGCAGUGGAAUAACACCGACAACGACCAGACAACUCGAAAAGACGAUAUUGUCUUCAAUGCUCUGGAAGCACAGAGAGUCUUUGCAGUUCUGUCCUUCCUGAUGGCCGUGAGCACCGCUGCUCUGUGUCUGGUGUUCGCCCUCUGCUGGACCUCUAAGACAGUGUGGUCCUACUCGAACACUCGCUCUCUCCUUAUGGCAGGACAGGCUCUCUACCCCACCACACUGCUGCUGCUCACCAUG